UACGAAGGGGGCUAGCGUUGUUCGGAAUUACUGGGCGUAAAGCGCACGUAGGCGGACAUUUAAGUCAGGGGUGAAAUCCCAGAGCUCAACUCUGGAACUGCCUUUGAUACUGGGUGUCUGGAGUAUGGAAGAGGUGAGUGGAAUUCCGAGUGUAGAGGUGAAAUUCGUAGAUAUUCGGAGGAACACCAGUGGCGAAGGCGGCUCACUGGUCCAUUACUGACGCUGAGGUGCGAAAGCGUGGGGAGCAAACAGG
rnacentral:rRNA from 1 species